UUAGUGCAGUAUUAGGUAGGUCACUCUGGCCACAUUCCCAGAAUUUAACAGUGGGGGCCUUGUGGAAUGCUAAACGAUGUGUAUAACAGCAUUCAUGCUCUCUGUGAGCCAAUCCGUCAAAACAUUUGCUGCUUUGAAAAUGUGCUCUUCAAAAAAAUGGGCAUAUGGAACUUAUUAGACUAUUUGGUGGAGUUCAGGCAGCAGAGCCCAAAAGAAGCAUAAAAACAUCUGAGGACACAAUUCUACCUUAAGAUCAGCUUACCAUAGGAGCUGAGACCUCUGUCUUGCGAAGCAGCCGGUGAGGCGGCGGCGGCGGAGCUCGGAGGCAACCCCGGC